CUACGGGAUGCUGCAGUGAGGAAUCUUGGACAAUGGGCGAAAGCCUGAUCCAGCGACGCCGCGUGGGUGACGAAGGCCUUCGGGUUGUAAAGCCCUGUCAGCGGGGAAGAAGUUCUGACGGUACCCUCAGAGGAAGCACAGGCUAACUCCGUGCCAGCAGCCGCGGUAAUACGGAGUGUGCAAGCGUUGCUCGGAAUCACUGGGCGUAAAGGGCGCGUAGGCGGCUUGGUAAGUUGGAUGUGAAAGCCCUCGGCUCAACCGAGGAACUGCAUCCAAAACUGCCUGGCUAGAGUACGGAAGAGGAAGGCGGAAUUCCCAGUGUAGGGGUGAAAUCCGUAGAUAUUGGGAAGAACACCAGUGGCGAAGGCGGCCUUCUGGGACGAUACUGACGCUGAGGCGCGAAAGCGUGGGGAGCAAACAGGAUUAGAUACCCUUGUAGUC
rnacentral:rRNA from 1 species